rnacentral:rRNA from 1 species
UACGUAGGGUGCAAGCGUUGUCCGGAAUUAUUGGGCGUAAAGAGCUCGUAGGCGGUCUGUCGCGUCGGCUGUGAAAACCCGAGGCUCAACCUCGGGCCUGCAGUCGAUACGGGCAAACUAGAGUACUGCAGGGGAGACUGGAAUUCCUGGUGUAGCGGUGAAGUGCGCAGAUAUCAGGAGGAACACCGGUGGCGAAGGCGGGUCUCUGGGCAGUAACUGACGCUGAGGAGCGAAAGCGUGGGGAGCGAACAGG